UACGAAGGGGGCUAGCGUUGCUCGGAAUUACUGGGCGUAAAGCGCACGUAGGCGGUCUUUUAAGUCGGUGGUGAAAUCCUGGAGCUCAACUCCAGAACUGCCUUCGAUACUGGAAGACUUGAGUCCGGGAGAGGUGAGUGGAACUGCGAGUGUAGAGGUGAAAUUCGUAGAUAUUCGCAAGAACACCAGUAGCGAAGGCGGCUCACUGGCCCGAUACUGACGCUGAGGCACGAAAGCGUGGGGAGCAAACAGG
rnacentral:rRNA from 1 species